UACAGAGGUCUCAAGCGUUGUUCGGAUUCAUUGGGCGUAAAGGGUGCGUAGGUGGCGCCGUAAGUCAGGUGUGAAAUUUCGGAGCUUAACUCCGAAACUGCAUUUGAUACUGCGGUGCUUGAGGACUGGAGAGGAGACUGGAAUUUACGGUGUAGCAGUGAAAUGCGUAGAGAUCGUAAGGAAGACCAGUGGCGAAGGCGGGUCUCUGGACAGUUCCUGACACUGAGGCACGAAGGCCGGGGGAGCAAACGGG
rnacentral:rRNA from 1 species